GGUGGCACAAGACUCUGUGUCACGUGAGGUCUGAGGAAGGGGGUGACCCAGGCGCCAGGUCAGGGGUUCUUGUCGGGCGCUGGGCCUGAGUGAGCAGUAAUGAAGGUGCGCUCCUGACCCCGCCUGGAUCUGGGGGAAGCCCUCUGGCCACGUGGCCUCCACCUCCUCCCUGGAGGGGCAGGAGGAGGGCCGGGCCCCGGGGGGCUCCUCUCACCGAGGCAGGUGGGCAGGGGCUCCAUUCCUGUGAAGUUCUCCCUGAUGUGCAUCUUCGCCUCUCCAUCCUGGCCUUGGAUCUAGAGGCAGAAAAGUGCAGAAGGAAGGGAGGAUCAGCUACGCCGACUUUGUCUGGUUUUUGAUCUCUGAGGAAGACAAAAAAACACCAACCAGCAUCGAGUACUGGUUCCGCUGCAUGGACCUAGAUGGGGACGGCGCCCUGUCCAUGUUCGAGCUCGAGUACUUCUACGAGGAGCAGUGCCGAAGGCUGGACAGCAUGGCCAUCGAGGCCCUGCCCUUCCAGGACUGCCUCUGCCAGAUGCUGGACCUGGUCAAGCCGAGGACCGAAGGGAAGAUCACGCUGCGGGACCUGAAGCGCUGCAAGCUGGCCAACGUCUUCUUCGACACCUUCUUCAACAUCGAGAAGUACCUCGACCAUGAGCAGAAAGAGCAGAUCUCCCUGCUCAGGGUGAGUGCGGUGGGCACGCGGGCGGGGCCGCACCUGCUGCGUACGUAACCUGUGUGCUUCCUCCAGGACGGUGACAGCAGCGGCCCCGAGCUCUCGGACUGGGAGAAGUACGCGGCCGAGGAGUACGACAUCCUGGUGGCUGAGGAGACUGCGGGAGAGCCCUGGGAGGACGGGUUCGAGGCCGAGCUCAGCCCUGUGGAGCAGAAGCUGAGUGCGCUGCGGUCCCCACUGGCCCAGAGGACCUUCUUCGAGGCGCCCUCGCCCCUGGGCGCCAUGGACCUGUACGAGUAUGCGUGCGGGGACGAGGACCUGGAGCCACUGUGACACCACCUGUGAGAACGCUGCCACGGGGCCACGCCACACAUGCCACGGCCACCACCAGGACUCCUGUAAAAACUGUUGUCUUUUGUGGAAAAUGAGUGCGUUUGUAUGGAAUGAUAAAUUUUUAUUUAUUCACAGAA
rnacentral:sRNA from 1 species